rnacentral:rRNA from 1 species
ACUCAAAGGAAUUGACGGGGGCUCACACAAGCGGUGGAGCAUGUGGCUUAAUUCGAGGCUACGCGAAGAACCUUAUCCUGGACUUGACAUAUGCGAAAGCGUUAGCAAGUAGAACCCGGAAACGGGAACGAACGGUAUCCAAUCCGGAAGCUAAUACAGGUGCUGCAUGGCUGUCGUCAGCUCGUGUCGUGAGAUGUCGGGUUAAGUCCCAUAACGAGCGCAACCCUUGUCUUCAGUUGCCAGCGAGUAAAGUCGGGGACUCUGAAGAGACUGCCGGCGUCAAGCCGGAGGAAGGCGGGGAUGACGUCAAGUCCUCAUGGCCUUUAUGUCCAGGGCUGCACACGUGCUACAAUGGCACGCACAAAGGGAUGCAAGCUCGCGAGAGCAAGCCAAUCCCAAAAAACGUGCCUCAGUUCAGAUCGAAGGCUGCAACUCGCCUUCGUGAAGUUGGAAUCGCUAGUAAUCGCGGGUCAGCAACACCGCGGUGAAUGUGUUCCUGAGCCUUGCACACACCGCCCGU